CUCACGGACCCAUCCUGGUGGAACGGCUCCUGGUUUUGACCCUCGUCGGGUGCAGCAGUGACGCUCAAAGACCCGGUGAAGACGGCCGGGUUUUCUUGGACGACGUAGUUCUGAGUUCCAUCGUCCUCUAGGAAUUCUGCGUGCUGAUCCCGCCCAGGGAUCACUCAGGCUGCUCAGGUCACGGAGCUGCAGAGACUUGUGACUUGGAAUGCAGAGACUUGUGACUUGGAAUGCAGGAGGGGUUUAAUAUAAACUUUAUAUCGAUUUGAUAUAAAGUUUAUAUAAAUUUUAUAUCAAAUUUAUAUAAAGUUUAUAUCAAAUUUAUAUCAAAUUGUUACGUCAUCACUACUGAAUGUGCAGGUCAAAGGCCACAUGUCAAAAGGAUUUUGAUGUAAAGGUAAUCAUUAAUCUGUCUGUCCGAUGAUCACCAGAUACACAUUUCUGUGGAUUCUCAGAGUUGUGUUGCUUUUGUAUCAAGCCACUAUACUUGUCACAACAUCAGGAUGAACAACACAAAGUUAGAUCUUGUAAGAGAAUAUUUUUGAUUCAAUUCUAAUUCCAUUUUAUUCUUAUAUAUAACCUUUAAUGAAGCUCUGUAACAUUUGAAUUAACUAGUGUGCUCAUUAAAAUACUGGACACUAGGAUACUGAUUAGCAGGAGGUCAUCAAGCUGCAGCUGAAGCUGUCAUCGACUCAUCCCCUGAGACUGAAUCUCCUGAGGUAUUCGGUCUGGGUCCAACAUCAGCCUUUUCACCCAUGAGACUGAGAAGUGGACGAGCAGCAUCAGUGGCCCAAAGUUCUAUCCUGCAGCUCCUUGUGGUGCAAGAUGCAGAUGACCUCGUGACAGCCCCCCCCUUUUCCAGCAUGCAGCUGCAGACCACCCUCAUCUGGGGGCUGCCCCCGCUCCAGCUCCUCCCCAGCAGUCAGAUGUCUGCUACUACUGUGGAAAGCUUGGACACUGAGUGAAGAACUGCCCUGAGAAAAAUCACAGCAGACACAGAAGAAGACAUAGAAACUUUAGAAGGCCGGGUAAGGAGGGGUGGAGCUCUGCACGACACGUCGACUCUGGGAUUCUCCACAGCAGAACCUCAGCUCAUGUAUGAUGUGCACACACACACACACACACACACACAGCCACUGGAAGCUCCCCCACACUCACCCCCACACUCACAUGCACUUUUACACAUGCAUGUGAAUUGUCUGUCUUACUGGCGUAAACAUUUUGGAUUUCCUGAAGGAAGUUAAUUGAGCAGAAAUCAGCUUCAAAAGCUGAGAGAAUGUUUGGUUAAAAAAAAAAUAAAAGUGACGUUCAAGUGAAAGAAGAUGCAGACAAGUGAUGUACAAUGUUGGACAUAAUGGAAAUGUAUUUGAAAAUGUGGGAACUGAGUCUGAGAAACGAGAAGUACAACAGAUGUGCAAAGUGAUGACUGCUAUGAAAGUAACAAGUAUAGAAAAUAAAAUGGAGAAACUGAAAGGAAAGACCAAAACCGUAGCUCCUCUUCUCUAUCUAUCAUUACUGAGUUUGUAAAAAAAAA